rnacentral:rRNA from 1 species
CCUACGGGCGGCAGCAGUGAGGAAUAUUGGUCAAUGGCCGUAAGGCUGAACCAGCCAAGUCGCGUGAAGGAAGAAGGAUCUAUGGUUUGUAAACUUCUGUUAUAGGGGAAUAAAGGUAUCCACGUGUGGAUAUUUGCAUGUACCCUAUGAAUAAGCAUCGGCUAACUCCGUGCCAGCGGCCGCGGUAAUACGGAGGAUGCGAGCGUUAUCCGGAUUUAUUGGGUUUAAAGGGUGCGUAGGGUGUUUUUUAAGUCAGCGGUGAAAGUUUGUGGCUCAACCAUAAAAUUGCCGUUGAAACUGGAAGACUUGAGUGUGUUUGAGGUAGGCGGAAUUCGUGGUGUCGCGGUGCAAUGCAUCGAUCUCACGCAGAACUCCGAUUGCGCAGGCAGCUUACUAAGCCAUAACUGACACUGACGCACGAAAGCGUGGGGAUCAAACAGGAUUCGAUACCCGUGUAGUC